ACGGAAGGCAGCAGUGGGGAAUAUUGCACAAUGGGGGAAACCCUGAUGCAGCGACGCCGCGUGAGUGAAGAAGUUAUUCGUAAUGUAAAGCUCUAUCAGCAGGGAAGAAAAUGACGGUACCUGACUAAGAAGCCCCGGCUAACUACGUGCCAGCAGCCGCGGUAAUACGUAGGGGGCAAGCGUUAUCCGGAUUUACUGGGUGUAAAGGGAGCGUAGACGGUUCUGCAAGUCUGAUGUGAAAGGCAGGGGCUCAACUCCUGGACUGCAUUGGAAACUGUAGAACUAGAGUGCCGGAGAGGUAAGCGGAAUUCCUAGCGUAGCGGUGAAAUGCGUAGAUAUUAGGAGGAACACCAGUGGCGAAGGCGGCUUACUAGACGGUAACUGACGUUGAGGCUCGAAAGCGUGGGGAGCAAACAGGAUUAGAUACCCUGGUA
rnacentral:rRNA from 1 species